AUAACGGUGUUUUUAGACACCACCCUUGAUCUCUAAAAUCUUUUUU
rfam:Picea glauca, whole genome shotgun sequence.